UACCCUUGACAUGGCAGGAAUCCCGAAGAGAUUUGGGAGUGCUCGCAAGAGAACCUGCACACAGGUGCUGCAUGGCUGUCGUCAGCUCGUGUCGUGAGAUGUUGGGUUAAGUCCCGCAACGAGCGCAACCCUUGUCAUUAGUUGCUACGAAAGGGCACUCUAAUGAGACUGCCGGUGACAAACCGGAGGAAGGUGGGGAUGACGUCAAGUCCUCAUGGCCCUUAUGGGUAGGG
rnacentral:rRNA from 1 species